GUACCACUUCGUAAGAAUGUGCAAAGUUCACAACAAACUUCGCAGAAGUGGUGGUUUGUGUUCUUUCAAGGUGAGUUUCCGGUAACUCACAUCACUUAAUGAUUGUUGAAGAGGCUGGAAUACAGGGGAGAUGUGUUGUGGAAGUUUGUUUAAAAGAACACCUUAGCAAAUUUUUCAUUUCAAAUAAAAUAGUGUUUCACAGUUGGUUCUUGCACUCGUAUCGAAAUAAUCUGUAGUAAAUAGUUUCCGAAACACACUUUGGAAUUAUAUUGGUGUGGGAUUUAUACAAUUCCCAAAUUGACGUCUCACAGAGCCAAACAAAUACAUAUGUCAAACAAUACUGAUUUAGUUGCAGCAACCUUUUAGUGAAAAUUGUAAAUAAAUUGUAUUCUGUGAAAACUAUUAAAAAUAAUAAGCAAAAUAUUUAUGUU